GACGAACGCUGGCGGCGUGCCUAAUACAUGCAAGUCGAGCGAAUGGAAGGGAGCUUGCUCCCUAAAGUUAGCGGCGGACGGGUGAGUAACACGUGGGCAACCUGCCUGUAAGACUGGGAUAACUUCGGGAAACCGGAGCUAAUACCGGAUACGUUCUUUCCUCGCAUGAGGAAAGAUGGAAAGAUGGUUUCGGCUAUCACUUACAGAUGGGCCCGCGGCGCAUUAGCUAGUUGGUGGGGUAAUGGCCUACCAAGGCGACGAUGCGUAGCCGACCUGAGAGGGUGAUCGGCCACACUGGGACUGAGACACGGCCCAGACUCCUACGGGAGGCAGCAGUAGGGAAUCUUCCGCAAUGGACGAAAGUCUGACGGAGCAACGCCGCGUGAGCGAAGAAGGCCUUCGGGUCGUAAAGCUCUGUUGUCAGGGAAGAACAAGUGCCAGAGUAACUGCUGGCACCUUGACGGUACCUGACCAGAAAGCCACGGCUAACUACGUGCCAGCAGCCGCCGUAAGAC
rnacentral:rRNA from 1 species